rnacentral:rRNA from 1 species
CUUGUAUACCUAUAAGAGGUCCAGCCUGCCCAGUGACUCUGUUCAACGGCCGCGGUAUCCUAACCGUGCGAAGGUAGCGUAAUCACUUGUUCUUUAAAUGAGGACUAGUAUGAAUGGCACCACGAAGGUUAUACUGUCUCCUCUCUCUAAUCAGUGAAACUAAUCUCCCCGUGAAGAAGCGGGGAUAAUCUUAUAAGACGAGAAGACCCUAUGGAGCUUUAAACUAAGAAUCAACUGCCUUUACCAUAUUUAAAUUCCAGAAGACUAACUUUUACCAAGACAUUCUGCAUUUCUAGUUUUAGGUUGGGGUGACCACGGAGUAAAAACUAACCUCCGCAAUGAACAGGGAUCUUCCCUUAACCAAGGACCACAACCCCAAGAAUCAAUACAUUGACAUCAAUUGACCCAUUAAACCUGAUCAAUGAAC